GUUGUCGGAUUUACUUCAAUCCAUAUGUGUUGAUGUAGAUUGGGGUGAAAUUUAGUUCAAAUUUCACUUCAAUCCAUCUCAAUACACGUGAAUUGAUGUAAAUCUGCCA
rfam:Sorghum bicolor cultivar BTx623 chromosome 9, whole genome shotgun sequence.